AAGAGCUGCAGGAACCAGGAAACAAGCAACAAAGAAAUGUCACCGUGCUCCGAAAGGACCUGGAAAGACUAUUUCACGGAAUACAGAGAAUGAGGCACUGGGAGGAGAAAGCCAAACCUUCCAAGAGCAGGGACUUGAAGACAUCAUUUCCAUGUUUCCUGGAUGUAUCCAUUUCACACUGAAUGACAAAAUAGAAAAUGGAAUGUCAUCACAGUUCCCACUCAAGCCAAUCCUAGUGGCAGGGUUUUUUGGGAGCAGCUGAACCAUGAUCUCACUAUGAAGAUGAAAUGUAAGACUGUGUAACCCAGGCUCAUGGAGAGAUUAGAAGGGAUUUCACAUCUCCAGAUUCCUUGGUGAUGCUUGGAUGGAAAGAGGCUCAGGGAACAGAAGCCAGCCCUUGUCUUUGGCUACAAAACAGAAUUCCCUGAGUAAAAGCCAGCAAAGAGCUUUUGAAGAGAGCACAUCCGGCUGGCCAUUUCAGGAAGUUGUUAGCAGUGGAGGGAAGUGGUAAGUGAAAGGAAGGGGGUUGGGGGAUGAGGGACUGAUGGAGAGUGGACAGUAUCCCUGAUCUUUCUUCUCUGCGGCAGCCCUGUGAUGGGCUUCAAAUACCUCACGACUUCCACUACCAUCACUUGGAAGCCAACAACUGUGAAUCCACUCCCUGAAUGAGUCUGCAGGCUGCUCCCUGAGCUUAGAAAGCUCAGCCUGCAAGGUGUGGUACCAUACCCUUUUAAUCCCAGCACCCAGGAAGCAGAGGCAGGCAGAUCUCUACGGGUUUGCUGUCAGCCUGGUCUACACAGUGAAUUUCAGACCAUCCAGGGCUACACAGUGAGACCUUGUCUCUCAAGUCAUUAAUUGAUAAAUUAAAAAAUAAUAAUAAUGCAGCCUGCACCAAUUCAAAUGGCACCUCCAUAGUAAUGCCAGAUUUCCUCAGGCAGUAACGGCUUUGCUCCUCUCUAUUUCUAAACAACUACGUGUUCAAGCAAGCUCUAAUUUCUAAGGCGAGCGUUGUAUCUGCUUUGAAUUUAACGCAGAUGAAUUUAGCUUCAAGCACUCAUUAAAAAGCAAGUUUUAGAAGAGAGGCAUUUUUAUCUUCAUCUCUACAGAAUACCUCUUCUCCUGUGUUUUUUCCUUAAAUUUUUUAUUUAAAUAUAAUUAUAUCACUUUCCCCUUUCUUCUCUAAGCUCCUCCCAAUUCUCCUCCUAACUGCCUCCAUGCCCUUAACCUGUAACCCAGCACUCUUAACACAAAGCAGGAGGAUUGUGGUCGUGUUCAAGGCCAGCCUGGCUGCAAGUCAGACCCUACCUUAAGGGGCCAAGCAAUGACAAUAAAUAAGUGCAAUUUUAAAGGCAAUUCUUGACGAAAAUCAGAGGAAAAGGUUAUUCAGAAUUCACUCCUGGCUUUGGAGGAGCAGCCUUCCCGGCUGUUUGCAGUGACGCAGUACAUGCUAACACCCUGGGGUUACACUGUACGUGCUGAUGCUCUUUGCAGUUACACUGUACACGCUGACACUCUGCAGCUACACUGUACCUGCUGACACUCAACUAAAACGUGAGCCCUGAAGGGGCUGGGGAUCCUCCACCCGCCUUGUGAUAACUUCCUUUUAUUUAACCCCUUCUCUCUUUGCUCAAGUGUGUGCGUGGUGUAUUGUGUGUGGGCAGGUAGAAGUAUGUGGACUCAGUCACAUUGGAGGACUCUUCUUUCACUCUGCCCCUUGUCUCUCACUGACCUGGGAGCUUGCCACUUUAGCUAGGCUGGCUGCUCAGCAAGCUCUAGAGGUCUGACUCCGCCCCACCCCCAGUGCUCCAAGCUGGGUUCACAGGCACAAGGGUGCUUGCUCUCUCAUCCACAGAUCCAUCUCCCUCCCUCGCCUGUGGUAACUUCUCAGCUCCACCCCUUCUUUUCGUACUCUGAAGGUUGGAAACCAGUGCCCCCAGCAGAAGUUGAGUGCACAGUUGUAAGCCGGGUGAAAUGACUGCCGAAUUUCCCACAGGCAACACCUUGUCUGGGAUUAAAAAGAAACCAUCUUGCUCAAUCAGCCUCUCAAACUAUUAUCUGAUCCCUUUUCUGCAGACGCCUCAACCCGAGCUAUUCACUUUCCAAGGCGUCACAGGUCACAGUGGGAAAACCUCAUUGCUAGGCAAUCAGAGCACAAAGAGAGCCAGUCAGGGAGCCAUGAGCAAGGAGGAGCUUAGAUGGCUGCUGCCACCUGUUCCAGACCGGACCACACUGGCUGCAAUCAGGGUUUGAGGUAGUCUUCCAGCCAGUCCCCUGGAAGACUUUCUGUCCCAUCUGAAACAGUCUGCCAUAAGGAUGGGAAUGCACAAGCCUCCCUCACCUCCCCUAGUUCAACUCUCCAGCACAGUGGGUGCCUGAUCGGCUAUGUCUGCCAUCCAGCCUUUAUGAGAGUCAAAGACCACUCAGACAGAUCGUAGGGAAGGAGACCUAGUUAGAAACAGAAAACAGAGUUGCACUGACCAGGACCAGGUGGCCCCUCCGGCCUGCUCUGCCAAGUACUCCUGCCCCAUCAGGAGAAAUUCUGAGUUGGUAGGUUUGUUGGUGUACACCUGUAACACCAGCACUUGGGAUGUGGAGGCAGGGGGGGAGAAGUCAGCAAAAUGAGUCUCUGAGUUCAAUUCCUCAGCAACCACACAGCAGUAGGGAAGGAUAGCAGAAGGUGGAGCCACCGCAUUGCUUCCACCAGCACAAUCCCCCGGCACAACAAUACCUAGAACCUGCCCUGGCCUCCCCAUCAUAGAGAACAGAGCCACUGCCUGGACGGAAUCCCAGGACAUCAUCUCCGUCUUCAUUAUAACUAGCCUGCUGCCUCCUCGAGGCAAAGCUUACCCAGCCAUGAACUUCUACGUGCAUCCCUUCACUGUGAAGGGUGAGUAGAGUAAUGACAGGAAACAGCCAGUCCUUCACUAAGAAAACAACUGAACAAGUAUGCUCGGUUUAUGGAAACGUUUGAGACUCGGUGGGCAAAGGAACGCAGGUGUGAUUCAACGUUACCCCCAGUUUUAGCAUUUAAUAAAUUGCCUUGGAUCUGA